rnacentral:snoRNA from 1 species
CUGCCUAACAUUGCAAUUGUCCGGCGCUGCAUUCGGUGCGGCGGGCAAUCUAUCCUUGGGCGAGAAUGAAUCCAAGGGGAGGGCGCUUUCCUAGCUCUUCCCGCCUGAUUUUUAAGCUCCGGCGGUCCUGCCUUAUACCAGGGUUCGCCGGUGACAAAUCAGGCAAAUU